ensembl:rRNA 5S_rRNA 5S ribosomal RNA
GUCUAUGGCCAUACCACCCUGAAUGUACCUGAUUUCCGCUGAUCUUGGAAGCUAAGCAGGAUCAGGCCUGGUAAGUACUUGGGUGGGAGAAUACCUGGGAAUACUGAGUGCUGUAGGCU